CAAGGCCGGCCCUGCGACCGUAUACCAAACGCAAAUCUUUUUUGGUGAUCUGAAAUGUGAUCGGCGUCGGAGUUGCCCCCCUCCCCUAAAUAUAUUGUUACAUCAUCGAGAUUUAUUCAUAUAAUUUUUUGAGAUAUUUUCCUUUUUUUUUCCAAAGGACUUAAUGUGUAUUUCCAGUACAGAGCGCGAUAAUUGGUUAAAAAAAAGGUUUUGUUACCAUACAGUGUACAACAUAGUAGGAGCAACGCUUUCAACAAAAUAAUUUCUUUCAAGUGACAUUUGGUAAAUAUCGCUGGAAAUGUUUCAGUACUUGAUGGUCUAAUUAUACGACUAUUAUGUGACUAUUUAAAGUACGAACAGUUUCAAAUGAAGACACUAGCACUAGCGGUUCUCACAUUGAUCGUCGUUUGCUGUGCUGCUCAGCCGCAGCCGUCAACAAAGUGUCAAUACGACGAGCAAGUGUACACAGAGCGCUGGGGAGAUGGUUGUCGUACUUGUUAUUGUCAAGAAUACAACAAUGAGAUGAUUGAGCAAUGCUGGUCCCCUUGUGAUGAAGAGUUCCCAGCCAAAUAAUACAAAAAAAUAAAGAUUCCUUCC